rnacentral:lncRNA from 1 species
GAUUAUACACAUUAGAAGUUCUUCUCUGAUCACAUGACUAAUUUGAAGAGUCUCACUUGACGGAGACUCUGCUGUAGAGUCCCACUGGAUGGGGACUCUAAAGAAGAGUCCCACUAGACUUGGACUCUAUCAUUAAUGAAAGAUUAAUAAAUAAUUAAAUCACUAAUUAGCUCAAUUUGAUUGAGUAUUAAAGUCUGGAUCAAGUUUGAUUGAAUUAGAUUCAAUCAGGUUAAAUCUGAUUAGGUUAUGAGAUGACCUAAUCGGUAAGGAAGAAAUGAUCCUGAUU